GAUGGAAGGGAAAGGCAAACC
rnacentral:miRNA from 1 species